rnacentral:rRNA from 1 species
AUGAACGCUGGCGGCGUGCCUCAUACCUGCCAGUCGCGCGAACAGACGAGGAGCUUGCUCCUCUGACGUUAGCGGCGGACGGGUGAGUAACACGUGGAUAACCUACCUAUAAGACUGGGAUAACUUCGGGAAACCGGAGCUAAUACCGGAUAAUAUAUUGAACCGCAUGGUUCAAUAGUGAAAGACGGUUUUGCUGUCACUUAUAGAUGGAUCCGCGCCGCAUUAGCUAGUUGGUAAGGUAACGGCUUACCAAGGCAACGAUGCGUAGCCGACCUGAGAGGGUGAUCGGCCACACUGGAACUGAGACACGGUCCAGACUCCUACGGGAGGCAGCAGUAGGGAAUCUUCCGCAAUGGGCGAAAGCCUGACGGAGCAACGCCGCGUGAGCGAUGAAGGUCUUCGGAUCGUAAAACUCUGUUAUUAGGGAAGAACAAAUGUGUAAGUAACUAUGCACGUCUUGACGGUACCUAAUCAGAAAGCCACGGCUAACUACGUG